UUAUGGCUCAGGAUGAACGCUAGCUACAGGCUUAACACAUGCAAGUCGAGGGGUAGCAGGGUAGCAAUACCGCUGACGACCGGCGCACGGGUGAGUAACACGUAUCCAACCUUCCCAUAACUCAGGGAUAGCCUUUCGAAAGAAAGAUUAAUACCUGAUAGUACUUUUUCAAGGCAUCUUGAGAAAGUUAAAGAUUUAUUGGUUAUGGAUGGGGAUGCGUUCCAUUAGAUAGUUGGUGAGGUAACGGCUCACCAAGUCUUCGAUGGAUAGGGGUUCUGAGAGGAAGGUCCCCCACAUUGGUACUGAGACACGGACCAAACUCCUACGGGAGGCAGCAGUGAGGAAUAUUGGUCAAUGGGCGAGAGCCUGAACCAGCCAAGUAGCGUGAAGGAUGAGGGUCCUAUGGAUUGUAAACUUCUUUUAUAGUAGAAUAAAGUGAUCCACGUGUGGAUUUUUGUAUGUAUACUAUGAAUAAGGAUCGGCUAACUCCGUGCCAGCCGCAGC
rnacentral:rRNA from 1 species